CCUCCACAAGUUAACAUAUUAAAAAGUAUAAAAACAAGUUAACAAGUUAACAUAUUUCUCGUUGAAUUGACACUGUUUAAUGUAAAACUCUUGUACAUCGUAUGUACAAGUUAUGAAAUCAACAACAAAAUUGACUUGACAUUCUAUAAAUAAAUAGCCGUCUAAACAUUUGCAUUCAAUCUACACAGUAUGCGGAUGCAACCAUUAAAGCCAUUUCUGUGGGAACGUGGUACAGUCCAAGAUGGAAUGGACAGAAUGGAUGAUUGCAGAUAAGGAUGGAAAUGAUGAAGAACCAAUCAGCCAGCUGGUCUACUGUACACCCUAGCUGAACUUGGUGUGCGCCAACAUGCGAUUUUCUCUUUUAAGCGAACUCUCCCCUCCUGCCAAGCAAAACCAUGGUGGAGUGUGAGAUUGUGAUUGAAAGAUGAAUGGGCGGUUGCCGAUGGUGUUGCUGUGGACCACAGAUUGUGUGAAAUAUUGUAACUAGUCUGUCCAGGGUGUGGGAGAGGUUACCCAUCCUGCCAAACACCACCAUGGCUGAGUGAGAGUUGCGACUAAAACCAUGGAUGGGAAGGGCUGUACCCUUUCCAUGAAACAACAUGGCUUGCAAGCCUGGUUGUUGAAGCCACAGAGGUAUUCUUAAGGACAAGAACCAGCGAUGGUCAAAACGUGGUCUUGUAUGGAAUUCCAUACCGGUUCUCGGCAAGGAUUUCCGAGAAAGGAAUACCAUAUCCAAAUUGGGAUCGAUCACUUCAGUACCAUAUUCACCAGUAACAUUUUAUCCAGGAUACCAGAGUGGCAUCUAGGAUUGAUCACUUCAGAACCAUAUUCACCAGUAACGUUUUAUCCAGGAUACCAGAGUGGCAUCUAGGAUCGAUCACUUCAGAACCAUAUUCACCAGUAACGUUUUAUCCAGGAUACCAGAGUGGCAUCUGGGAUUGAUCACUAACACUUCAGUACCGUAUUCAGCAGUUACAUUUUAUCCAGGAUACCAGAGUGGGUUUGAUCAUUUAAGUACCGAAAUCAUCAGUAACAUUUUAUCUAGGAUAUCAGAGUGGCAUCUGGGAUUGAUCACUUCAGAACCAUAUUCACCAGUAACGUUUUAUCCAGGAUACCAGAGUGGCAUCUAGGAUUGAUCACUUCAGAACCAUAUUCACCAGUAACGUUUUAUCCAGGAUACCAGAGUGGCAUCUGGGAUUGAUCACUUCAGAACCAUAUUCACCAGUAACGUUUUAUCCCGGAUACCAGAGUGGCAUCUGGGAUUGACCACUUCAGAACCAUAUUCACCAGUAACGUUUUAUCCAGGAUACCAGAGUGGCAUCUGGGAUUGACCACUUCAGAACCAUAUUCACCAGUAACGUUUUAUCCAGGAUACCAGAGUGGCAUCUGGGAUUGAUCACUUCAGAACCAUAUUCACCAGUAACGUUUUAUCCCGGAUACCAGAGUGGCAUCUGGGAUUGAUCACUUCAGGACCGUAUUCCCCAGUAAGGUUUUAUCCAGGAUACCAGAGAAUGGAUCUGGGAUCGAUGACUUAAGUACCGUAAUCAACAAGAACGUUUAAGCUAGGAGACAACAAUUACAUAUGCACCACAAAGUGUUCUCAAAAGAGCAUCAUAAACUGUAAUAAAUAUCUUCUUAAUUUUAAUUAAUAAGUGAAAUUGGUUAAAUUUUAUAAAAAAAAAACUUCAUUUAAACGCUAGCAUUGUUUUAUUGAAAGUGUUUGGAAGAAGAUCUUUACUUCCUUUACUGCACAAAUCUUCAGUCUGCAGUUAUGCUUAUUUAUUAUAAAUUAUUGAAAACAAGUUUUUAAACAUCAGGCACAAAAUUGUAUUUGUCAGUACAUUGUAUUGUAGAAUUACCAUGUCAUGAUUUUGUACCAUAUCUUCAUUAGCUGAUAAACCAGGUCCUGAUUACAUUAUAUUUCCAAUUUUCAAAGAUAUAUGUUAAGUUUGUAUAUUGGCACAAAAAAAUCAAGUUAUUGAAUGUUCCUUUUUGAGAGAGUCCUAUAAAAUAAUGUGAAAGUGCUGUAUAUAAUGCUGGAACUCACAUGAGUUAGCCAGUAUAAGUUCUGUACAAUUAAGUGUAUAUGCACACAACAGUUCAUCUUGCAUUGCUUUCUCAAAGGAUAUAGUAUUAAGCUGAAUGAGCCCAUGUAAUCAUAAUUAUAGUGCAAUCUUGUUCUGAUUAUGUUGUGAACUGUUUAACUGCUAUAUAUAUAGUGAAUAUAUUACAAUCUUACAACAUAUAUAUUUUGUAUAUUAAUACAAUCACUUAUGUUUCAUGGAUUAAUAUGCUUAUUUUUUUUAAUGUUAUAGAUGUAUUGUGUCCAAUUUUAAUAAUUCAGUUUAAAGUCUCAUAAUUAAAUAUGUUUACUAAUUGCAUACAUUGUUAUAUUCAAUGAUUGAAUGGCGUUAACAAUGUCAACUACAGGGGAUUUAUAUUCAUUUCAAACUGCUGAGGGGGUCAAACCAUUUUUCUGGGUUAUUUGCAGAAGCUUAAAAAUCUAAAAUAUUCACAAUGCUGUUUCACAUAUUAAAAUAGUUAAGUACAGGUUGAUUGUCAAAUAAUUGCAGUCUGUGAUGACUAAUUUUAAGUAAACUCAAUCUGUUUUAUUUACCUUGUUAUGUUUAAAGCUGCACUCCAACAGAUUUACCAUUUUUACAACUUUUUUUUUAUUUUUUGUCUUGGAAAGAGCACAUUUUUGUGUAGAUAUCUGCAAACCAUUGAUAUAAGUUUGCUGACAAAAAAUCAGAUCGGAGAGUUUCAUAUUUCCGUUCGAAAAUUAAUGUUUUAUGGCUUAAACUGUUACUAAGGGUUUAAGAAAAAUGCAUAAAACAUCAUUUUUUAAACUUAAAUAUAAAAAUUUGCGAUGUAUUUUUUUGUCAGCAUUCUUGUAUAACUGGUUUCCAUGGAUUCUCGCAAAAAUUGGCUAAUUCCAAGACAAAAAAUAAAAAAGUUGUCAAAACCUUCAAUCUGUGAGAGUGCCGCUUUAAAGAAGGAAUCAUUAUUCUGUACUAUUACAUGCUUGUAUGAUAUUUAGUAUUGUGAUAAUUAGUAUAUUUAUUGUGUUUGUAUUUAUGAUUUUUUUUUCAACCAUUAAAAUAUUCAAUUUCUUU